GGGUUGUGAGGUUAAGCGACUAAGCGUACACGGUGGAUGCCCUGGCAGUCAGAGGCGAUGAAGGACGUGCUAAUCUGCGAUAAGCGUCGGUAAGGUGAUAUGAACCGUUAUAACCGGCGAUUUCCGAAUGGGGAAACCCAGUGUGAUUCGUCACACUAUCAUUAACUGAAUCCAUAGGUUAAUGAGGCGAACCGGGGGAACUGAAACAUCUAAGUACCCCGAGGAAAAGAAAUCAACCGAGAUUCCCCCAGUAGCGGCGAGCGAACGGGGAGCAGCCCAGAGCCUGAAUCAGUGUGUGUGUUAGUGGAAGCGUCUGGAAAGGCGCGCGAUACAGGGUGACAGCCCCGUACACAAAAAUGCACAUGCUGUGAGCUCGAUGAGUAGGGCGGGACACGUGGUAUCCUGUCUGAAUAUGGGGGGACCAUCCUCCAAGGCUAAAUACUCCUGACUGACCGAUAGUGAACCAGUACCGUGAGGGAAAGGCGAAAAGAACCCCGGCGAGGGGAGUGAAAAAGAACCUGAAACCGUGUACGUACAAGCAGUGGGAGCACGCUUAGGCGUGUGACUGCGUACCUUUUGUAUAAUGGGUCAGCGACUUAUAUUCUGUAGCAAGGUUAACCGAAUAGGGGAGCCGAAGGGAAACCGAGUCUUAACUGGGCGUUAAGUUGCAGGGUAUAGACCCGAAACCCGGUGAUCUAGCCAUGGGCAGGUUGAAGGUUGGGUAACACUAACUGGAGGACCGAACCGACUAAUGUUGAAAAAUUAGCGGAUGACUUGUGGCUGGGGGUGAAAGGCCAAUCAAACCGGGAGAUAGCUGGUUCUCCCCGAAAGCUAUUUAGGUAGCGCCUCGUGAAUUCAUCUCCGGGGGUAGAGCACUGUUUCGGCAAGGGGGUCAUCCCGACUUACCAACCCGAUGCAAACUACGAAUACCGGAGAAUGUUAUCACGGGAGACACACGGCGGGUGCUAACGUCCGUCGUGAAGAGGGAAACAACCCAGACCGCCAGCUAAGGUCCCAAAGUCAUGGUUAAGUGGGAAACGAUGUGGGAAGGCCCAGACAGCCAGGAUGUUGGCUUAGAAGCAGCCAUCAUUUAAAGAAAGCGUAAUAGCUCACUGGUCGAGUCGGCCUGCGCGGAAGAUGUAACGGGGCUAAACCAUGCACCGAAGCUGCGGCAGCGACGCUGAUGCGUUGUUGGGUAGGGGAGCGUUCUGUAAGCCUGCGAAGGUGUGCUGUGAGGCAUGCUGGAGGUAUCAGAAGUGCGAAUGCUGACAUAAGUAACGAUAAAGCGGGUGAAAAGCCCGCUCGCCGGAAGACCAAGGGUUCCUGUCCAACGUUAAUCGGGGCAGGGUGAGUCGACCCCUAAGGCGAGGCCGAAAGGCGUAGUCGAUGGGAAACAGGUUAAUAUUCCUGUACUUGGUGUUACUGCGAAGGGGGGACGGAGAAGGCUAUGUUGGCCGGGCGACGGUUGUCCCGGUUUAAGCGUGUAGGCUGGUUUUCCAGGCAAAUCCGGAAAAUCAAGGCUGAGGCGUGAUGACGAGGCACUACGGUGCUGAAGCAACAAAUGCCCUGCUUCCAGGAAAAGCCUCUAAGCAUCAGGUAACAUCAAAUCGUACCCCAAACCGACACAGGUGGUCAGGUAGAGAAUACCAAGGCGCUUGAGAGAACUCGGGUGAAGGAACUAGGCAAAAUGGUGCCGUAACUUCGGGAGAAGGCACGCUGAUAUGUAGGUGAAGUCCCUCGCGGAUGGAGCUGAAAUCAGUCGAAGAUACCAGCUGGCUGCAACUGUUUAUUAAAAACACAGCACUGUGCAAACACGAAAGUGGACGUAUACGGUGUGACGCCUGCCCGGUGCCGGAAGGUUAAUUGAUGGGGUCAGCGCAAGCGAAGCUCUUGAUCGAAGCCCCGGUAAACGGCGGCCGUAACUAUAACGGUCCUAAGGUAGCGAAAUUCCUUGUCGGGUAAGUUCCGACCUGCACGAAUGGCGUAAUGAUGGCCAGGCUGUCUCCACCCGAGACUCAGUGAAAUUGAACUCGCUGUGAAGAUGCAGUGUACCCGCGGCAAGACGGAAAGACCCCGUGAACCUUUACUAUAGCUUGACACUGAACAUUGAGCCUUGAUGUGUAGGAUAGGUGGGAGGCUUUGAAGUGUGGACGCCAGUCUGCAUGGAGCCGACCUUGAAAUACCACCCUUUAAUGUUUGAUGUUCUAACGUUGACCCGUAAUCCGGGUUGCGGACAGUGUCUGGUGGGUAGUUUGACUGGGGCGGUCUCCUCCUAAAGAGUAACGGAGGAGCACGAAGGUUGGCUAAUCCUGGUCGGACAUCAGGAGGUUAGUGCAAUGGCAUAAGCCAGCUUGACUGCGAGCGUGACGGCGCGAGCAGGUGCGAAAGCAGGUCAUAGUGAUCCGGUGGUUCUGAAUGGAAGGGCCAUCGCUCAACGGAUAAAAGGUACUCCGGGGAUAACAGGCUGAUACCGCCCAAGAGUUCAUAUCGACGGCGGUGUUUGGCACCUCGAUGUCGGCUCAUCACAUCCUGGGGCUGAAGUAGGUCCCAAGGGUAUGGCUGUUCGCCAUUUAAAGUGGUACGCGAGCUGGGUUUAGAACGUCGUGAGACAGUUCGGUCCCUAUCUGCCGUGGGCGCUGGAGAACUGAGGGGGGCUGCUCCUAGUACGAGAGGACCGGAGUGGACGCAUCACUGGUGUUCGGGUUGUCAUGCCAAUGGCACUGCCCGGUAGCUAAAUGCGGAAGAGAUAAGUGCUGAAAGCAUCUAAGCACGAAACUUGCCCCGAGAUGAGUUCUCCCUGACCCUUUAAGGGUCCUGAAGGAACGUUGAAGACGACGACGUUGAUAGGCCGGGUGUGUAAGCGCAGCGAUGCGUUGAGCUAACCGGUACUAAUGAACCGUGAGGCUUAACCUUACAACGCCGAAGCUGUU
rnacentral:rRNA from 1 species